rnacentral:rRNA from 1 species
GGUUAAGCGACUAAGCGUACACGGUGGAUGCCCUGGCAGUCAGAGGCGAUGAAGGACGUGCUAAUCUGCGAUAAGCGUCGGUAAGGUGAUAUGAACCGUUAUAACCGGCGAUUUCCGAAUGGGGAAACCCAGUGUGAUUCGUCACACUAUCAUUAACUGAAUCCAUAGGUUAAUGAGGCGAACCGGGGGAACUGAAACAUCUAAGUACCCCGAGGAAAAGAAAUCAACCGAGAUUCCCCCAGUAGCGGCGAGCGAACGGGGAGCAGCCCAGAGCCUGAAUCAGUGUGUGUGUUAGUGGAAGCGUCUGGAAAGGCGUGCGAUACAGGGUGACAGCCCCGUACACAAAAAUGCACAUAUUGUGAGCUCGAUGAGUAGGGCGGGACACGUGGUAUCCUGUCUGAAUAUGGGGGGACC